UGCUGUAGUAAGACACCAUGACCAAGACA
rnacentral:piRNA from 1 species